rnacentral:lncRNA from 1 species
CCGAGACCCAAGCGCCCUGGGCGAAGCCACCGCGGGGAGGACCUGCGCUCGCGGGGGCUGCUGCGCUCUGCGCUGGGGCCUCUCGGGCUGGGAAUGCGUGGCCCGGCUUUUGAGGAUUUCCUCGGUCCCCGGGCGGAAAUAGCUGGAAUGGAGGGGCCUCUCGAUUGGAGACUUACUGGUCAAAUAUUUACUUUUGUUGAUCACUGGAAACGCUACCUACCACGCAUUGACUAGGACCACAAAAACCACGACUUCCUGGAAAAGUCUUCACCGUAAAUAUUAAUCUCUUUGGCAUGAAGAGGAAAACACUGCAGCUAAUUUUUCAUGGGAUAACAAAAAUAUAAACUGCAAUUUCUUUUAUUUUUUCCCUUUCGAUGGUCUUUUUAAACGAGGAGUAAAGAUUUCAACGCCAGGUCCAUUUUCCAAAUUUUGUACCAGAACCUUGAGGAUGCUUGUCUCUCGCGCGCUUCUCCGCAGACCGAACCCUCUCCGGAACUCAGAGCUGUUCACCCAAGUCAGCGGAGGAGGCCUCCUGGGACUUGAGCCUGAGGGUGGCGAAGAACCCUAGGCAGAGAUCAUCAACUUGGUACCGAUGAGUGACGCGGAGCUUGAACAUUCCAGCGACUUGCUCCAGGGCCACUCCCAGUUAAGAGGCUGAGUGUUAACUGCAAGAGGCUGAGUGUUAACUACGCCGUUGGCUCCAGGAACCGAACCGGGUUUGGAUACAGACCCAGUCACACCAUCCAUGAAAAGCUGUUUCUAUAAUAUGAAAAAUUGUUAAAUGACGCUUUAGUAAAAGCCAUUUAAAGAUCUUUUCUAAUAAAUUUUUCAUCUUUCCAAACAAUGCCGCUAAUUACCUUCUGAUACAGUGCGUUUCCAAAAUGUUUAUGAACUGAAAACAAAAAUAAAAAACUACAUUUUUAUGUUGUAAAGGGAGUGGGGGGGACUUUCUAAAAUUUGUCGUAUUAUAGCACUUCUCAUGACAACUUGACCCUUUAGGCAUAAUUUUUGACAAAAUGUCUUGUUCUUUUUCUUUUUACAGCUGAACGUCUUAAAUUCAAGGAGUAAACACAUAUAAUGAGAUAAAAGUUUAUCACUGUUAGCACAACCAAUAAUUUGCAUCGUAGUCUCAAUUUCCUCGAAUCU